rnacentral:rRNA from 1 species
AUUGAACGCUGGCGGCAUGCCUUACACAUGCAAGUCGAACGGCAGCACGGGUGCUUGCACCUGGUGGCGAGUGGCGAACGGGUGAGUAAUACAUCGGAACGUACCUUAUCGUGGGGGAUAACGCAGCGAAAGCUGUGCUAAUACCGCAUACGCCCUGAGGGGGAAAGCGGGGGAUCGAAAGACCUCGCGCGAUUAGAGCGGCCGAUGCCUGAUUAGCUUGUUGGUGGGGUAAAAGCCCACCAAGGCGACGAUCAGUAGCUGGUCUGAGAGGACGAUAAGCCACACUGGGACUGAGACACGGCCCAGACUCCUACGGGAGGCAGCAGUGGGGAAUUUUGGACAAUGGGGGCAACCCUGAUCCAGCAAUGCCGCGUGAGUGAAGAAGGCCUUCGGGUUGUAAAGCUCUUUUGUCAGGGAAGAAACACCGGCUCUAACACAGUCUGGGAAUGACGGUACCUGAAGAAUAAGCACCGGCUAACUACGUGCCAGCCGCCGCGGUAA